ACGGAAGGCAGCAGUAGGGAAUCUUCGGCAAUGGGGGCAACCCUGACCGAGCAACGCCGCGUGAGUGAAGAAGGUUUUCGGAUCGUAAAGCUCUGUUGUAAGAGAAGAACGUGUGUGAGCGUGGAAAGUUCACACAGUGACGGUAACUUACCAGCAAGGGACGGCUAACUACGUGCCAGCAGCCGCGGUAAUACGUAGGUCCCGAGCGUUGUCCUGAUUUAUUGGGCGUAAAGCGAGCGAAGGCGGUUUAAUAAGUCGUAAGUUAAAGGCAGUGGCUUAACCAUUGUUCGCUUUGGAAACUGUUAGACUUGAGUGCAGAAGUGGAGAGUGGAAUUCCAUGUGUAGCGGUGAGAUGCGUAGAUAUAUGGAGGAACACCGGUGGCGAAAGCGGCUCUCUGGUCUGUAACUGACGCUGAGGCUCGAAAGCGUGUGGAGCAAACAGGAUUAGAUACCCUGGUA
rnacentral:rRNA from 1 species